UAGAGUUUGAUCCUGGCUCAGAUUGAACGCUGGCGGCAGGCCUAACACAUGCAAGUCGAGCGGAUGAGAGGAGCUUGCUCCUUAAUUCAGCGGCGGACGGGCUGAGUAAUGCCUAGGAAUCUGCCUGGUAGUGGGGGACAACGUUUCGAAAGGAACGCUAAUACCGCACUACGUCCUACGGGAGAAAGCAGGGGACCUUCGGGCCUUGCGCUAUCAGAUGAGCCUAGGUCGGAUUAGCUAGUUGGUGAGGUAAUGGCUCACCAAGGCGACGAUCCGUAACUGGUCUGAGAGGAUGAUCAGUCACACUGGAACUGAGACACGGUCCAGACUCCUACGGGAGGCAGCAGUGGGGAAUAUUGGACAAUGGGCGAAAGCCUGAUCCAGCCAUGCCGCGUGUGUGAAGAAGGUCUUCGGAUUGUAAAGCACUUUAAGUUGGGAGGAAGGGCAGUAAAUUAAUACUUUGCUGUUUUGACGUUACCGACAGAAUAAGCACCGGCUAACUCUGUGCCAGCAGCCGCGGUAAUACAGAGGGUGCAAGCGUUAAUCGGAAUUACUGGGCGUAAAGCGCGCGUAGGUGGUUCGUUAAGUUGGAUGUGAAAUCCCCGGGCUCAACCUGGGAACUGCAUUCAAAACUGUCGAGCUAGAGUAUGGUAGAGGGUGGUGGAAUUUCCUGUGUAGCGGUGAAAUGCGUAGAUAUAGGAAGGAACACCAGUGGCGAAGGCGACCACCUGGACUGAUACUGACACUGAGUGCGAAAGCGUGGGAGCCAAACAGGAUUAGAUACCCUGGUAGUCCACGCCCGUAAAACGAUGUUCAACU
rnacentral:rRNA from 1 species